AACAAGGCGUACCUGCGGACCUGCGGAAGGAUCAUUAUUGAAUAAAUCUGACAUGGUUGUAGCUGGCUCUUAGGAGCAUGUGCACACCUGUCACCUUUAUCUUUCCACCUGUGAACCCUUUGUAGUCCCAGGAUAACCUCUCGCGCACUCUGGUGUUGCGGAUGCGAAGGUUGUUGUGCCUCUGGCCAGCUCCCAUCGAAUUUCCUGGGUCUAUGUUUCUUAUACACCCCUGUAUGUUAA
rnacentral:misc_RNA from 1 species